GUACCUACAGAGAAGCGUUCUAUUCCAUAAAAAUCUAUAAUUGCAAUGUUCAUACGUUCAUAAUCGCUUAAAAUUUUUACAAAAAAAGAAGUCAAAAUAAAGAUUUUUCUUUUUCUUCUGAGAAUUUCAGGUAUUCGAUCGGCAUCUGUAUUCACAACUUGUGGUCGUGUAUUUACAGAGUUGGCCAAGGAAUUUGUUUUCAGUUGACAAUAAACAGUUCUCCAUUUUAAAUUCAUGGAUGUUGACAAGACAGAAUUGGAUGUUGACAAGACAGAAUCAGUUGUUGAAGGAAUUGACCAUUAUAAAAUGAUGGAUAUUGAUCAGAUUCACUCAGAUAUUAGAAAUGAUGAUCCGCACAAGGUACGUGAUGAUAUUUCAGAUGGUGAACUACUAGAAGAUGAUCAUUCUAGAAGCCCAGAUGAGUCAUUUGAACCAGAAAUAAGAAAUAAUGAACAUGUCAAAACAUGGGACAAGGAAAAUGACAAAUUAAAAGAAAAAGAGAUUGAUUCAGAGAAGCCUAAAGAUUAUGGUAGGGAAAGAGAUAGAGAUGACAAUUCACUUAAGGAGAAGGAGAAACUGAGGGAUCGUGACAGGCAUAAGGAUCGAGAUCGUGAGAAGGAUAAAAAUAAUGGCCGAGAUCGUGAUAAGGACAGAAGAUGUGAACUUGACAGGGUUGAAACCAGGGAUAGGGAUGAGGACAAAGAAAAGCAUAGAGUUAAAGGCAGAGGGAAAGCUAAGGAAAGAGAAAGUGGGAGGGACAAAGAAAAAGAAGGUAGUUCUUCUAAACAUCGGGACAAGGAGAAGGAUAGAGAGAGAGGGAAAGAGAAGAGCAAAUCGAAGGAGAGGGAUAGGGAGGAUGACAAAGGAAUAGGAAGAAGAAAGGACCAGGAAGUUGGCUAUCGAGAUACUGGAAAACAGGAGAGAACGAAGGAGCGAAACAAGGACAUUGAAGUUGAUAGAGAUUUAGAAAUCCCAAGAGAUAGAAAGGAGAGGGACAGAGAGAAUGAUCGAGAAAGGGAGAAGGAGAAAGAUAGAGAUAGGGAAGGAAGAGAGAAGGAUAAGGAUAAACACAGAGACAAGGACAGGGAUAGAGAAAGGGAAAAGGAUAGAGAAAAGGAGAAAGAUAGGGACAAGGAAGGGAGAGAGAAGGAAAGGGAUAGACCAAGAGACAAGGACAGGGACAGAGAACGGGAAAAGGAAAGAGAAAAGGAGAAAGAUAGGGAUAAGGAGGAGAGAGAUAAAGACAGGGAUAAACUGAGAGAUAAGGGCAGGGAUAGAGAAAGGGACAAAGACAGAGAUAAGGAGGAGCGAGAUAAGGACAGGGAUAAAUUAAGAGAUAAGGACAGGGAAAGGGAGAAAGACAGAGAGAGGGAUAGAACAAGGGAUAGAGAUAGGGACAAGGGCAGGGACAAAGUAAAGGAGAGAACUAGAGAUCGAGAUCGAGAGAGAGAAUCAGAUAGAGAUAAAGAAAGAGAAAAGGAGGAGAGGUCAAAAGCAAAGGAUAAAGAGAGUAAAGAUGGAAGCAAAUCUAAACAGAUAGAAACCAGGAGCAAUGAUGAUGCAAAGGAGAAAGAGAAGAACAAGGAAAGGGACAAUGAAGAAAAGAUUCGAAGAGAACCAGAUGGUCAUAACUUGUCAACAAUAGAACUACAAGAAAAGAUUGGAAAACUGAGGGAGGAAAGAACUAAGCAGAAGUCAGAAGGUGGAUCAGAAGUUUUAUCAUGGGUUAACAAGAGUAGAAAGAUUGAGGAACGUAAAAAUGCUGAGAAGGAAAAAGCUGAACGUCUUGCGAGAAUCUUUGAAGAGCAGGAUAAUGUGGAGGAUUCAGACAGUGAUGACGAUGAAAAGAUGAAGCACAGUGGAAAGGAUCUGGCAGGACUGAAGGUUCUUCAUGGGCUUGAUAAAGUAAUGGAAGGAGGGGCAGUUGUAUUGACACUUAAGGACCAGAACAUUCUUUCUGGUGGCGAUAUUAAUGAAGAUGUUGAUAUGCUUGAAAACAUUGAAAUUGGAGAGCAGAAUGCUAGAAAUGAGGCCUACAAGGCAGCCAAAAAGAAACCUGGGACAUAUGAAGACAAAUUUCAGAAUGACGUAGAUGCAGUAAAAACAAUUCUUCCUCAGUAUGAUGAUCCAUUUAAAGAGGAGGGGGUGACCCUGGAUGAAACGGGAGGUAUUAAUGAUGAAUACCAGAAAAGACUUGAUGAGAUACGUAAGAAGUUGCAUAUUGCAGCCAUGGGCAAUCAAGCUGAGGAAUCACUGGCACAACCUGGAACAAGCACAUCUGAUUAUUAUACUCAUGAUGAAAUGCUGCAAUUCAAGAAACCCAAGAAGAAGAAGAAGUUGCGGAAGAAGGAUAAGCUGGAUGUUGAUGCACUUGAAGCAGAAGCAGUUGCUUCUGGAUUGGGUGCUGAAGACCUUGGUUCCAGGGCUGGUACACAAAGAAAGGUUUUGAGGGAGGAGGCAGAGAAAGCAGAAAGGCAACAACGGAAAGAUGCAUAUGAAACUGCACUAAAUAAAGCAACAGAGGCUUCCAGAGGGCUUCGAGAUGUAAAACCAUCAGAUGAAAUGCAGGUGGAUGAUGAUGGUGAUACUGUUUUUGGUGGGGAGGAUGAAGAUCUGUACAAAUCAUUGGAGAAGGCAAGGCAAGCAGCUCUAAAGAAACAAGAAAAAGGUAUUGGCUCUGGUCCUCAGGCAGUAGCUCGUAUGGCAGUAUCUGCAAAUCAGUUGAAAGGAGAUGGCCAAAGUUUAUCAUCUACUGAAGCACCAGACAGUAAAGUUGUAUUUACUGAGAUGGAAGAAUUUGUGUGGGGUUUACAGCUUGAUGAGGAAUCUCACAAACCUGCAGUUGAAGAUGUCUUCAACGAAGAGGAUGAUAUUUCAGAACCUAAAAAGGAAGAUUCUCCUCGUGAACAAAAAGGUGUGUGGAUGCCAGAAUCAAUGAACAAGGCAGAAGUGAUGAACAAGGAAGAAUCUGACCAUAAAGAAGACAGGGAGGAAGAAGUGAUAACAGAUGACAUGAUUAAAGAAGCUUCUGUUGGAAAAGGUUUGGCAGGUGCCUUGCAACUGUUGAAGGAAAGGGGUGCGUUUAGUGAGACUGUUGAUUGGGGUGGAAGGAAUAUGGAUAAAAAGAAGAGCAAGCUUGUUGGUGUCCGAGACAAUGAUGGACCAAAGGAGAUACUUCUGGACCGUCUAGAUGAGUUCGGUCGCGUUAUGACACCUAAGGAAGCAUUUCGAAAGCUAUCACACAAGUUCCAUGGAAAAGGCCCUGGCAAAAUGAAACAAGAGAAACGAAUGAAACAGUAUCAGGAGGAGUUAAAGCUAAAGAAAAUGAAUUCUGGGGACACCCCGUUAAUGUCCAUGGAGAAAAUGCGUGAUGUCCAGUCCAAACUGCGGACUCCUUAUAUUGUUCUUAGUGGUCAAAUCAAACCAGGGCAAACUAGUGAUCCAAGAAGUGGUUUUGCAACUGUUGAGAAGGAGCACCCAGGAAGUUUGACACCAAUGCUUGGUGAUAGGAAGGUUGAGCAUUUCUUAGGGAUCAAACGCAAGCCUGAAGUUGGAGCAAUGGGUCCUCCAAAGAAACCAAAGACAUCUUGAUGUUUGACUUAACAAUUAUAAGCUGGAUGAAGGAUUUGUUACAAUUUUAUGGACAGUGAUGAUUAUUGAUGCUGCUAGAGGACACUUCAGUUUUAACCUAUGAAGGCUGCCUAGCAACUGCUUCUCUGAUGUUUGUGUGAUCUGAUUGUUGCGCCAAGCUCAAGAUUUGGGAUAAAAAUUCCUGUUUGUGUUUUGGGGACCUCAUCUGUCAAUCAAGUAAAUAAUAUGUUGGUUUAUGAGAUGUUGAUGCCAAAGCAGUGGAAAGAAAAGUGUUUUAACACAUUGAUAUGGCAGGAAUUUCUAUAGCAUCAGUGACUGAAGCAAAGAAAUAGCCCUACCCAGAUGAUUCUGCUCAAAAAUGUGUUUUGACCGAUGUUUCCCAAAAUAUCGCUAUCCACUGAAUCUCCUUUACCUCCAUUAUGAUUUUUUAGUUUUGUUGGAAAGUUCAUUUGUAUACACUAUUAUGUUUGUUGCGCCCUUCUUGUUCUGUAUAUUCCAAGGCUUCUGGCAUUAGUUUCUCUUAUAUUGGUGACUACAAAAUCAGGGAUCUGUGUUUUAGUGGUGGAUAAGAAUUGUUGAAUUUUCUCUACAGCCUUGUGAGGAAAUUUUAGUGGCUGCUAUUCACCAGUUCACCAAUUCAUUUUUAAAAAGCUUCAAAAAAGCAUUUGCCUAUUGAAAAUUAUGAUCUCCAGACUUCUAAUACAAUAUGUAUUUGAUCUAUGUUCAACUUCUUGUAUGAGGACAUAAAAAUCCACUAUUAAAGAGAGGUCAGUUUUAACUUAGAAAUUUAUGGCUACUUAAGUGUUUCUGUGGUUCCA